GAACGAAGCCUUCGGGCUUAGUGGCGCACGGGUGCGUAACGCGUGGGAAUCUGCCCUUUGGUUCGGAAUAACAGUUGGAAACGACUGCUAAUACCGGAUGAUGACGAAAGUCCAAAGAUUUAUCGCCAGAGGAUGAGCCCGCGUAGGAUUAGCUAGUUGGUGUGGUAAAGGCGCACCAAGGCGACGAUCCUUAGCUGGUCUGAGAGGAUGAUCAGCCACACUGGGACUGAGACACGGCCCAG
rnacentral:rRNA from 1 species